UACGUAGGUGACGAGCGUUAUCCGGAAUUACUGGGCGUAAAGCGCACGCAAGCGGUUGGACAAGUCUGGCGUGAAAUCCUCUGGCUUAACCAGGGGCGGUCGCUGGAGACUGUUCGGCUUGAGGCGAUGAGAGGGGUGCAGAAUUCCCGGUGUAGUGGUGGAAUGCGUAGAGAUCGGCAGGAACACCCAGGGGGAAAGCAGCCGACUGGGCAUCUGCUGACGCUGAGGUGCGAGAGCGUGGGGAGCGAACCGG
rnacentral:rRNA from 1 species